AACGAACGCUGGCGGCAGGCUUAACACAUGCAAGUCGAACGAGAUCUUCGGAUCUAGUGGCAGACGGGUGAGGAACACGUGGGAACAUCCCUUUCAGUUCGGAAUAACGUUGGGAAACUAACGCUAAUACCGGAUACGUCCUUCGGGAGAAAGAUUUAUCGCUGAAAGAUUGGCCCGCGUCUGAUUAGCUAGUUGGUGAGGUAAUGGCUCACCAAGGCUACGAUCAGUAGCUGAUCUGAGAGGAUGAUCAGCCACAUUGGGACUGAGACACGACCCAACGUCCUACGUGAGGCAGCAGUGGGGAAUAUUGGACACUGGGCGCAAGCAUGAUCCAGCGUUGCCCCCUGAGUGAUGACGGCCUUCGGGUUGGAAAGCCCUUUUGUCCGUGAAGAUAAUGACGGUACCGAAAGAAUAAGCCCCGGCAAAGUGCGUGCCAGCCGCCGCCGUAA
rnacentral:rRNA from 1 species